rnacentral:misc_RNA from 1 species
CUUAAUAAAUCCUCUGUUGCCUUUUUAAUAUCUGGAAGUGAAGACUGAAUCGUGCUAAUGCUAGGUGGGCCACUUGCCUUAUCACUGCCAACAUCCUGAACUUGAGGUGUAGCAAGUCCGGAUUCAAUAUAACCUGCUUCAGCAAUCUUUUGUGACUGCAAUCCAAUUUUGUUCAAUAAGUCAAAUCCAUCCCACUUUAAUUCCAUGGAAACAGGCAGACCAUGUUUUUGAACAAUAGUUUGGUUGAUAAGUUCAG